AGCGGCGAGCGAACGGGGAUGAGCCCAGAGCCUGAAUCAGCAUGUGUGUUAGUGGAAGCGUCUGGAAAGGCGCGCGAUACAGGGUGACAGCCCCGUACACAAAAGCGCAUAUGCUGUGAGCUCGAUGAGUAGGGCGGGACACGUGGUAUCCUGUCUGAAUAUGGGGGGACCAUCCUCCAAGGCUAAAUACUCCUGACUGACCGAUAGUGAACCAGUACCGUGAGGGAAAGGCGAAAAGAACCCCGGCGAGGGGAGUGAAAAAGAACCUGAAACCGUGUACGUACAAGCAGUGGGAGCCCCACCACUAAGCCAGUGGUGAACUCCACAUACGCAUCCUUUGCUGAGGAUACGGUUAACGGAGCGAAAGCGACGUUCAACCUCAAAAGAAGCAGAGGGGGCUUAGUGGUGGGGUGACUGCGUACCUUUUGUAUAAUGGGUCAGCGACUUAUAUUCUGUAGCAAGGUUAACCGAAUAGGGGA
rnacentral:rRNA from 1 species